rnacentral:rRNA from 1 species
AUUGAACGCUGGCGGAAUGCUUUACACAUGCAAGUCGAACGGCAGCACGGACUUCGGUCUGGUGGCGAGUGGCGAACGGGUGAGUAAUAUAUCGGAACGUGCCCAGUCGUGGGGGAUAACGUAGCGAAAGUUACGCUAAUACCGCAUACGAUCUACGGAUGAAAGCGGGGGAUCGCAAGACCUCGCGCGAUUGGAGCGGCCGAUAUCAGAUUAGGUAGUUGGAGGGGUAAAGGCUCACCAAGCCAACGAUCUGUAGCUGGUCUGAGAGGACGACCAGCCACACUGGAACUGAGACACGGUCCAGACUCCUACGGGAGGCAGCAGUGGGGAAUUUUGGACAAUGGACGCAAGUCUGAUCCAGCCAUUCCGCGUGCAGGAUGAAGGCCCUCGGGUUGUAAACUGCUUUUGUACAGAACGAAAAGGCUCUUCCUAAUACGGAGGGCUCAUGACGGUACUGUAAGAAUAAGCACCGGCUAACUACGUGCCAGCAGCCGCGGUAA